CUUAGUUGCUCUGCGGCCUGUGGGAUCUUCCUGGAGCAGGGAUCGAAUCCGUGUCCCCUGCAUUGGCAGGCAGAUUCUUAACCACUGCACCACCAGGGAAGUCCCUGGCCUGGUUUUAAGAGGGAGGGAACUGAGGCUCAGAGUGACUUCCCCAAGGCCACCCAGAGCAGUCAAUGACUGGUCAAUCCGUGAUUUCAUUUUGUCCUCCCACAGCCUUUAUUUUAUUUUAUUUUACUUUUAUUUUUUUAAGCAUGUAUUUUCUUUCUUAUUUUUUUUUUUUUAAGUUCUUUAAUUUUUUGGCUGUGCCACAUAGCAUGUGGGAUCUUAGUUCACCAACCAGGGAUCGAAUCUGCACCCCCUGCAUUGGAAGCAUGGAAUCUUAACCACAGGACCACCAGGGAAGUCCCUCUCCCACAGACUUUAGAGAAGGCCUCGCUUCCCUGCUUUGAGGGCUGGGCAGGGACACCGCAGGACGCGGGCGGGGCAUGUGUCGGCACCUUGCCCUCGGGCCCAGCCAGGAAGGGGACGGAGGGCACCAUUGUCUCAAGAAGAGGACAGCCAGAAGGCCAUGUGAAGACACAGAAGGAGGAGGCCGUGUGACAGCAGAGGCAGAGGUUGGAGGGAUGUGCCUGAGAGCUGAGAAACACCAGUACCCAAAGGCGUACACAGGGCAGAGCCUUCCCUCUGAGUGCCGUCAGAGGUAGCAUGGCCCUGCCGACACCUUGACUUUGGACGUCUGGCCUCCAGAGCCGUGAACCGUCCUGGAAGGCAGCCAGCCUGGUGUUUGGAUCUGCUGUCGCUGGUCUGGAUGCUCCCAGGGCCUGGGACUCGGACUCCAUCCAGGCCUCUCGUCCAGCAUCCCUCAAAGGCCUGUGUCCCUGCUCAACCGUGCUUUGUACAUCUGUUUGCUUCUGUAGGGACCACCUCCCCACAAGAGGCCAGCUCCAGGAGGACGGGCUGCUGGCUGC